rnacentral:lncRNA from 1 species
AAUUUCACAAGACUAGAUAGAGUUUUAUUUACACGAACAUUGCCACUUCUUUACCUCAACACGGCCACAACUAAUAUUCCACUGCUACUACUACUAAUGCUGCCUGCCUCUGCCGCGCCUUCUCUUUCAUUCAGUCCCAAUCCGUCGGGUUCUUCAGUCCCGACGACGCUCGUGAAGACAAAGGCCGGCGCAGCGCAGCAGAGGUUGUCGCGCCGCCCCGCCGGGUUGGGGCGCUCUACACGACCCGGGACCUGAUGUAGUACCCUUCCUCCGGCCCGCCGGCUUACUGCACGCCCUCACAGAAAUGGCACAGAGCAGUUUUCAGAGCUAUUGUGAUGACAGGGGAGGAGCGCUUUUACCCUGAAGAUGUUAUCUGUGUCACAUAUUACCUCUCUGUUGGCGAUGAUCACGUCCCUUCCUAUCUUCGCCUUCAUGCCGAUGAUGCAGUUGCGUGCUGUUUGAAGAUUCAGGUCAGUCGCCCUCACCUGAUCUUGGUGUUCUCCCGACGCCGUUGGGGACCUUGCCCUCCGACAAGCAGCCUCGAGAUCUCGUCCUCGGUCUCGUACAAUUUCGCGCCCAUCAUCGUCGCGUUCAUCUCACUCUAUGGUUAGAAUCGAAGGCAAUGCAAGGCGAAAAAUUUCCUAUGGUUGACAAAUCUGGACUGGAGAUCACUGCUUAACAAGGGGAUGUGCCUCACAAUUACAGCAGAGUCUGCAGCUCAUCUCAUUCUUCAUUUCUUCCAAGAAAAAUCUCAUUCUUAAUUACCCUUAUGCAACAGAGGAGGUUGAAGCUGGUACCUGCACAAUUAAUCUAAUUCCAUCCAGAGGAACAAAAAACUUGAAGGUAGCAGCUGCCUGAUACAUUGCCUUGAUAGCAUUACGUGCAGAGUAUGGCCUCACGAAAAGUUAUUCAAGACAGCCAGCAUCCCUCUAGUUACUAAGCUCCCACGAAAUCAAGCCUCCUGGGGGCACCGCGCCUGCGAUGGUUGUUCGUGACCCCACGUGUAUGUAUGUGAUUGGCUUGUUAGUACAGUCCAGUGCCGUAUGGGCCUGCUUUUGUGUUAGUCGGUUUGAGCCGUUUGGCUAUUUGACCCGUAUAAGAACCCCAUACCCCAAACCCCCACCAAGCUUCUCUUCUUUCCUUGCCACCGCCGAUGGAAGCUUCCAAGAGUGGCCGAACAGACGGCCAUCAAGACUUGUGCUGCAUCCUUCCCCUCAGCCUCAACCCAAACCAGUGCGGCGAGGCUCCUCCUCUCCUUCAGAUGGCGCGAUGAGGAGGGACAACAGUCCGCCAGCCGAGGGUGCCCGGCGAGAUCUGCAUCGGGACUUCACCACCAGCGCUCUUGCUACCGAGGCUUCGCAGUUCUAAAAUUCAAAGUUCCUAACUGUAUCCGGUCAUUUCCACCCUCGGUCGCAACCGCGCCGGCAAUCGGAGCUGACGCCGAUUACUCCGGGAGCCGCCCGAUAGCGCUAGCAAAGUGGCGGCGUCACGAAAUAGGCUUUCGCUCCGCUUCAUAGAUAAAGCAACCACCACGCGAAAGCUUUUCGCAAUGUCGGUCGACAAAGGCGACGGAAAACCCCCGAAAUUUCGCAAGUCGCCCGAUAGAGUUUUAUUUACACGAACAUCCCCCGGGAGUUUGUUUGCUCGCGGCCACUUCUUUACCUCAACACACAGCCUCUUCUUAUUUAUUACAGGGGCAAAACGAACGACUAUUACUUUGUUCCACUGCUACUUACUACUUACUACUUACUACUGAUGCUGCCUGCGCGCGCCUCCACUUUCAGUCUCAGCCAUUCAAAGCUUCAAACGGCCCCCGUCCCCGGGUCACUCCUCCAGUCCCGGCCCCGAGAAGCCGACGACAACGAUCAGCGCAGCGCAGAGGUUGUCGCGGAACCCCGUCGCGCCGGCCCGGCGGCGCUCUACACGACGGUGCCGUCCUUGAUGGUCGCGUUCUUCUGGAUCACCACGAUCCCGGACCUGAUGUAGUACCCCUCCUCCGGCCUGUCGGCUUCUUGCACUCCCUGACAGAAAUGGCACAAAGCGGCGUGGUUUCAGACACAAGUGUUGUUUUCUUCAGAACUUUGGGACCAGGUUUAAAACUCUGAAGGAGGGUGUCUUACCUCCUUGUUUGAGAUGACCACGUCCCUUCCUAUCCUCGCGUUCAUGUCGAUGAUGCAGUUGCUGCAACGUAUCCACGCAAAACGUGUUAAGAGAUAAUGUGGCACUUGCGCCGAACGGUACGUGUCGUUCCUGAGGUACAGAUCAGUCUCUCUCACCUGAUCUUUGUGUUCUCCCCGACGCCGAUGGGGACCUUGCCCUCCGACAUCAGCCUCGAGAUCUCGUCUUCGGUCUCGUACGAGUCCGCGCCCAUCAUCAUCGCAUUCUGCAAACCACCACCAUUUGGAAGAGCGACAGCGUUCAGACACAGGAUGAUUUUACAGUUGACAUGCACCACAUGCCAUUAUUCGGUGCGAAAAGGCAUACCUUGAGCUCGCUUCCGGAGUUUAGGCGUGAGCGAACGCCGAUGAUGGAGUGCUCGAUUUUGCAUUCACGCAAGAAGCAGCCGUGCGAAAUGAUCGCUUCUUUGAUCUGCACACAGAAGAAUCCAUAUCAGAUGCUUACAGCUAAUGCUUGUAUGGAAUAGUCUGAAUGGCAGGUUGAUUCUAACACGUACCCUGCACUUGUCUGACUUUGUUGGUGGCAGGUAUCGAGGCGAGGUGAAGAAGGGAGUUUUGGGAUCAUAAAACUCGAACUUUGGGGGCUGCAAUGAACAAAAUGUGUGAAAAUACUGAAAAAUGUAUUAAGUGAAGAGUCUUAAUAUAACUUUAUCAUUUAUCGAUUAUCAUAUUAGCACUACUGAAGUCAAAUUUGGGAAGCACCCAAAAAGAUAAUGGCACCUGCUCGCAGAGGGCCAUGUUUGCAUCGAAGAAGGAUCUGAUUGUUCCAAUGUCCUCCCAGUAGUCAGUGAAGACAUAAGCCUGACAAAAACAGUGUCAAAUGAACGGCCACUUCGUGCAACACAUAGGAAAUAGUUUUACAGACUGCAUUUCACGCAGAGCUACCUCCCCAACAGAAACAACGAAUGAAGCUCACACUGUUAGUUUACCUGUACAUUGUGGUCAUGCAGAGCUCUCGGGAGGAUCUCAGACCCAAAGUCAUGUAGUUCUGCAUAUCUUGACCUGAGAAUGCGGAUAUUAGAAUUCAGACCGACAGGACGACGGCGUCACCACAAGAGCAGGUUCUUACUUUAGAAGGUUGAGCAGAACAUCUCUUUUGAAGACAUAGACUCCCAUAGAAGCAAUGUAUGGAUAUUUAGCAGGAUCGUCUAUGGCGAAAUUGAGAAAACUGGUGUCCACUUUCUGCACAUGAUCGAUGGCUUAAAUUUCAGAUACUGCAACUUAUUUAAGACAGUCAUAUCUUUAGGCAUAUAUCUGACACAGUGAGCUGAGACGAGUGCUAACCAUCGCUUCCAGAUCGUCACCCUUUGGCUUCUCAGAAAACUGGACCACACGGCCUGAACUGUCGAACUUCACUAGCCCGUACUCAGAUGCCCGGCUUCCAAAACAAAGAAAAGCAAAUCAGGAUGCAGUGCAACUUCAACAAAAGGAAGAUACACUCAUAAAUAAGGAUCUGGGAUGUAGAACAAUAGUUAAUACCUCUCUCCAACAGGGGCACAUGAUAAAGUAAUGUCAGCAUUGUCAUCCACAUGUUUCUGUAAAGGAUGUAUGCCACAGCUUGGUCAGCCAGUUCAAAACAGAACAUACACUGGAGCUGGUUAAAGAGAACAUCACAAACCUGCACAAGCUCCAUGUAAUCCAUGCGAUAAAGCUGAUCGCCCGACAAGAUCAAAAUGUGCUCUAUGGAUUUAUUCUUAUAAUAGUCCUGGAGAGGUACACAUAACACAAGUAGCAUUACUUUAACACAUGCAGAUGUACAAGUAUCCAGAUAGUACUCUUCUCACCUCAAGCACCCAGAUAAAUUUUCUGACGGCGUCCGCUGUUCCGCGGAACCAUCCAGCAGCCUCCCCGGGCAUUUGCGUCGCGGCCAAUACCUAUUUGUUGCAAAAAGGUGUAUCAGUCAAUGUGUGCUGUAGUCAGCUAAAAGCCCAAGACGUCAAGAUGAAAAAAUCAAGUAUAAAUUAAUAAGCUGAGAUCAAUUACCUCAACGGAUCCAUCAGUGAAAUUGAUUCCCCCGCCGAGGUAGGUGCGGUGAAUGUGGCGAUUAAGCGAGGCCGAGUUGAACUGGGUCAUGACGAAUAUCUUGUUGAUGCCACUGUUGAAGCAGUUGCUCAUGGGAAUGUCGAUGAGCCUGUAACAUCCUCCAAUAGGAACCUGAGCAAUGCAACAAAGGGAAAGGAACAAGAUUCAGGCUGGCGAUCCGAAGAUGACUGGACGGGCUACAUGGAUGGCCACUGAUAGCCUUGAGGUUGACAUCAUGUCGGUUAAAGUGGGGGGCAUCAUCGGGUCCGGCUACAGAAACCACUGCUGCUAAUAAUGAUUUGAACACAGCACAAUGCAGAAAACUUGCUACUGAAUGAGCUGUACUUCAACUGGUCCUAUCCAAAUCAAUUGCCAUGUGCAGAUAGAUGACAAGUGAAAUUUAAAUAAAGCUUCCUCAUUCCUAUCUAUCUAAAACUGGGAAUCAUCUACGGUAGAACUUCCUUUAAGUAAUAAAGCACCCUUUAUCGAAAUCUACGGUACAACAUAUCUGUAAGUAACACAGAUUUUCUAAAAUUCAUUUCUGCAACUGAGAUGUGCUAGUGUUAAACUAUCAACCUGUAAUAGAAAAAGAGCAAGACAGUUAAAAACAUAGAACUGGAUGAUGAAUGUGUCAUCUUACAGCAGGUGUGGCCCUUGUGCUUGUGAGUGGGAAGAGCUGAGUCCCGGUGCCACCGCCGAGUAUGACGGCCGCCACCUCGUUCGGAUCGGCGUAAUUCCUCCGGAAGGACGUCCGGAGAACCUGCAGGUAUUUUUAUUUUUUUUUGCAUGAAAACAUCAGAGAUGCUAACAUAACAGAGUGUCUCAUUGCAACUCGAUCAUCAAACUUACAAGGGUGUCUGCCGGGCUGGCGUCGGAGGUGAGCACGCACUGCGCGCCGGUGGCGGCGGGGCCCCUGCCGCCAUUGCACAUCCUCCUGGAGGCCCUGUCGUGCCUGAUGCUGCUGCUGUCGCCGACCUUGAGGCGCUCGCAGGCGGAGCCCUCUCUCCUGACGGGGGAGACGCACGCCUUGCCCUCCAGGGGCAGCACGCUGCUGAACUGCAUCGAUGACAUUCGCAGUCCACCUGCAACUGCAACAAGACGAGAAGUUGAGAAGCAUCAGCAACCAUGGAACCUUGAGAAAUCCGUUAACUGCACAUGACUUGGCCCAAAUCACUGAUGAAUUUAUACAUGGGGCAAAAAGAGCACGGACUUUUUCCCCCUCUCUCACGGUCACGGGUCACGGCCCUCUGUAAAGCUCAGUAGUAGUAUUUCGGAACAAUGAUCAUGGGGAAAAGGACUAGUGGAAGAGUGGGAAAGGUGUGGAGUACUUUGUGACUUUUCGGGGCAGGGUCACGUGAAUCAGGAGAUGACCCUCUGAUCUUGUGGCUGGCGUUCUUCCUUUGCUGUUUCCCCUUCUGAACUCGCAGGGAAAGGAAGCGAGGCAGAAUAUCCCGAUGAACUUUGCAAGUGGAAAAGAAGACUUUCACUGCACAAGUGCGGUGCAGUGCAGUGCAGAGUUUCGUUAAUGAAACGGAAGCUUCUUGACACGGGAAAAGAUGUGGACUGUAUUUUAAGGAGGAGUGAUGAUGAGACCGAGCUGGUCAGAAGUGAGAACGCCGAAAUACUUGAAGAAAAUUGAGCAGGGCGCGCAGGAUCCAAGGAGGACUCACAUUUUUGUCGUCGGGAAGGCAAACCAAAUACAACAAUCGGGGAAGGGGCCGUGAUCCUCCUCCUACUCGUGGUCGCCGUCAGUUAAUUCAGAUAAGAGAAAUAAAUCAAACAUGCCCGGCCCCUCCAAUCCAGAAACGGAGGGGCCGUGAUCCUAAAAUUAAGUCGGCAACAAGAUCCGCCCUCCUUCAUCCUCCCCGGCGGCUGGCCCACGGCUAUGCCCAACGACGCCGCUGGCCGGCGCGCGGUGCCACUCGCUCACCCCACGGGCCGGUGCCGUCGAGGAACCGCCCACCCGUCUGAUCCCCUGUCGCUCCCGUGCCCCGCCCGCGCCGGAAUGGGGCGGCAUUAAUGCGCGGCGGAGUCCGGUCCGGACGGGAGGAACAGGCAGCGCCCGCCCGCCACCUUUCAACGCCAUUACGCAUCACCGGAACGCAAAUUAAUCCACAAGGGGGGGAAGGAGGGAGGGAAAUGUGUUGUUACCUGCGGCGCGGCUGCCGGGGACGGGCGGACGGACGGCGGGUUAACGGAUCGACGGGCGACCGGGCAAGCGACGGAUGAAUCAAAUGCAGGGAGGCAGAGGCCGGGGGUGGCCCCGCUAGUCGAUGUGGUGGUGGUGAGGGCAGAGAGAGGAGAGGAGAGACGGUGGAGCCGUUGAGUUCGGGGGCUGUGGUGAUGUGGAGGGCGGGGCAUAUAAAGCGGGCGGAGGCGUUGGCGUCCCUCCCACUGCACUGCAAGAGAAAGAACGGACGGUGUGGAGCAGCCCGGACAGCAGAGGGAGGGAGCACGGGGCGUAGCGUGAGGGCGGCAUGGCCCGGACUGGAGUCGCUACGUUACUCUCUUUCCCUCUUGGCGCUAUCCCCACCCCCCACCAUUCCCCAUGCCCGCGGCCAUGUGCGUGCGCGGGGCAAGCGCAGGACGGUACCGCCCCCCGCACCGUCCCUUGGCUUGGCCCUCGCCGCACGCCUCCGGCCCGCCUUUCCGCCCGCCACGCUACCGCCGGCGCCUCCGGUGUCCGUCGCGGCUUUUGUUGCCAUCAGGUCUCGACGCCCGCAGCCAGCCUGCCGUGGAAUGCUCUCCGUUGGCGCACGACCGGAUCCGACAAGGACAACUGGCCACGGCUCGCCGCCGCCGCCGUCGGCUUCCCAGCUCGCUCUUCCUUUUUGCCGUCGGUUAUAAAGCCUGGCCUGGCCUGGCUCGUCUCGCACGCACGGACGGACGCGCAGCGUGCCGCUGGCUCUGGCCCCCGGAAUUGAUCGAUCCCCUUUCCCAACCGGCCGGCGGCAACAAAGCACGUUCGGUUCGUCUCACCUGGACACGGCUACACGGCCAUUGUCUGUUUGUCCCUUCCCCCGUGCGCUGCCGCCCCGACACAUCACCGGGGGAACCAACGGCGGAAAUCGCUCGGCGAGCUCCCGACCGCUGUGCUAGUACACCUAGUUUUUUUUUUCUUUGAGCGGUAGUACAUCUAGCUGUGCUGUGCUGUGCUACAGUGCGGCGUGGGCGUGGCAGUAGUACUACUGUGCUGUGCUGUGCUGUGGGCCUCCGCCUGCCCGACACGCCACGCCCGGGCCCACGGACUGGGCUGUGGGCCUCGUAGAGUACGUGCGCUGAAGAAGAGCGAGCGANNNNNNNNNNNNNNNNNNNNNNNNNNNNNNNNNNNNNNNNNNNNNNNNNNNNNNNNNNNNNNNNNNNNNNNNNNNNNNNNNNNNNNNNNNNNNNNNNNNNNNNNNNNNNNNNNNNNNNNNNNNNNNNNNNNNNNNNNNNNNNNNNNNNNNNNNNNNNNNNNNNNNNNNNNNNNNNNNNNNNNNNNNNNNNNNNNNNNNNNNNNNNNNNNNNNNNNNNNNNNNNNNNNNNNNNNNNNNNNNNNNNNNNNNNNNNNNNNNNNNNNNNNNNNNNNAAAAAAAAGAAAAGAUCGAGCGAGCGAGCGAGCGAUCUCUCGCGACGCCACGCGCGGGGCGUCGUGGCGCGCGGCCGGUUGCGGGGGAUCCAAGCGCUUGUCCCGACGCGAGGGACCUCGUGUUGACGGAUCCAUUCAUUCCGGCCGCAUGCGCAGGGGGUGUCCCCCCCCCGGUGACGCACUGCCGCGUGUGUCUGAGGCCUCGAACACGAGUACUCCUGCCUAGCGUCAAAAACGUUCUUAUAUUACGAAAUCGACAAAGUAUCGGCAGCUCCAACUCGUUGCCAAAUUCGAUGUUCGUUUCAUCGGCUUCGUCGGUUUCGAUGGCAAUGAGGCUGUGUUCGUCGGAUUUGUGGAUGCGUCGGGUGUGCACCCAACGUGCGUGCGGCCGUAUCUGAUCCGCGCGCAUACAAAUCCGAAAAACAACAAAAGAUGUAGUUAAAUGGCAGCGGCCGCGGCUCAUGCCGGCCGACAACCAAGCGAGCGGCCUACAUAUGGUCUCCCUUCAGUUCCACGCCAGUAACAACGUCAGCGACCAGCACACCAGCCAACCUUUAAAAUGGACGUGUUUUUUUGACGCCAGCAAUAAAGCCAACGGCCAGCACAUGAGAAGGCCUUCAAAAUGAACAAGUUUUUGGUGCCAGCAACAAAGCCAGCAGUCGACGCUCCAUGCCAGCCUUCAAAAUGAACGGCCAUAGUCCACGGCCGAGGUCUCACCUAGUUCACGUCGUCGCGGGCGAACAUCUGCUUCUGUCGGUUCGUGAACCAAAUCUUCCUCUCCGGUGACAUGUUGUUCUUGUCGACGCUCAUGAUCGCGAGUGCCACCUCCUCUAUAGUACCCAACCCUGUAUCGUAUUGUCAGGCGACGUGACGCGCUAAUUGCAAUGAUUAUGCAGUCCAUUCCCCUUAAUAUUCAGUUUCGGAGGGUGCUUGUUGGUGAUAGAUGGAAAGCUUGGCUUCAUCUGGUGCGUAGACUGAUGGAAGUCCAGCUAGCUCAGCAGCCCGAUCAGCUGUGUUGGAAACUUACUAGGUCUGAACAAUUUACUGUUAAGUCGAUGUACAUCGAUGUUAUUAACUCGACUGUCAUUCCUAGUUCCAAACAUAUUUGGAAAGUAAAAGUUCCUUUGAAAAUUAAAGUGUUUAUGUAGUUUGUCCAUAAACAGGUUAUUUUAACAAAGGACAACUUGGUUAAGCGUAAUUGGACAGGAUCUACUAGGUGUAGUUUCUGUGAUCAGGACGAGACCAUUAAGCAUCUCUUCUUUGAGUGUCCGUGGGCGAGAAUUCUGUGGCGCACCGUGUAAAUUGCCUUUAACAUUACUCCUCUGAGUUCGGUCGGGUCGUUAUUUGGAACGUGGCUGGAUGGGAUAGAGUCCGAUACAGCUAGACAUAUUCGUGCAGGAGUUUGUGCGUUGUUAUGGGCAAUUUGGAACUGCAGAAAUGAUUUGGCUUUUAACAGAUUAACUACUAUUCAUUUUUUGCAGGUUGUAUUCCGUGAUACGACACUGAUCCGUAUGUGGUCCUUACUCGCUCCGACGGAGGCCAGGGAGCGUUUGGUUACUGGAUCUGUCCGGUGUGAGAUGGUAACGCGAGAUAUCUUCAACCGGUUUGGAUGGCGGUCAUGUAAUAAAAUAGACUAUUAGUUUUCCUAUCUUUAUUUUGCCAGCCGGUUGUGGCUUUAUGGCCUUUUCUAGUUUUGGCGUCGAGGCUCUAUGUGAGCUCGCCUUUAUUUUGUUUCAAGACUCUAUGACAUUGUUGAACCUAUUUUAUUUAUUUAAGUGUCCGUAUGCAUCGUUCUGAUACAGAGGCCGGGAAGUCCCCCUUUUCGAAAAAAAAAUCAUAAAAAGGGGACUAACUAAUUGCCCAUUUUCAUUAUCAGCACUCGAGAGUACAGAUAGCGUCGGAAGAAAAGGAGAGAAAGAAGAGAAUGUGCCGUACAUGUACCAAAAAUACUUGUAAGGACCAUCGCAAAAAGGGAAAUACUUGUAGGGAAACUUCAUCACCCACAUACUGAUCGGGCGUCCUCACGAGGUGCAUGUCGUGGGAGAGAAUGACAUCGAAGGAUUUAUUCAUUGUCCACGCCUCAUCUGAAAACUAACUCAACGAAUGUCCGAAGAAUACAAGUACGAGCACGCUGGUACUGUGACUAAUAACCAAGUACUCCCUCCGUCCGGAAAUACUUGUCCUCAAAAUGGAUAAAAUGAAUGUAUCUAUAACUAAAAUAAGUCUAGAUACAACCAUUCCAAAGACAAGUAUUUUCGGACGGAGGUAGUACUACUUAAUACAGAAUUACGGCCGUACUUUGGACCGUCUCGUUGCUGUUGGCUGCCCGCGGCGGUCAGUGAAGACUCCGGCGCUAGCUACGGAGGUCCUAGCCGGCGCGUGCCAGCCCAGAAUCACAUGCUGUGAUGUGAUGCUCACCAGGCGCCAGGUCGCGUCCGUACGGCAGCCAUCCGUGUAUCCAGUCAUCCACACGUCCUGACUCACCGCACACGCGGCGUUCUCUUCUGAUUCUGAAAGUGACUGUUCGCCCUUGUUAGGGGCGCGCAGGCGCGACGGAACAUGCUGUCUGGCUGACGGUGAAACCAGCAACAUGGCACGCAGCCCGCGCCGGGAGUCCCUCUCCCGUCGCGCCUGUGCGGCUGUACCGCGGCGCCAACGUCGCCGUCUGAACCGUGCCGCGCCGCAUGGAGUUCCACAGCGGGAUGGGAGAACGGCAGCACGCUCGAGGCUGCGUAAGACACGGAUUCUCAAAACGACCGUGCACGUCGGUCUCGGACUUUUUUUAACACACACUACACACACAAGCGCUCGUACAUACGCGCAUACACUCACCCCUAUGUGCGACGGAUAUAGGUCGGCUUGCCUGCGAGCUCGCCGGAGGUGAGUGACAACGACCCGACGAUGAGCCGGUGUCCGCGCACGCACCGAUCCAUGCCGGCUUCAUCAUGGAGUAGGCGCAUACGCACUUUAGCACCAUCAUGGCAGAGGUGCCGCCGAGUAUUGUUGUUUUGACUGGUGCAGGAGGACUAAUGCUACAACCUCGCGCCCUCCUUGUGCAUCACCAGCUAGCGAGGAGGCUGUGGCCGCCAUGGUCUUGGAGGACCCAAACUUCGUCGACCACCAGCGGGCGCUCUACAAGGCCGCACGUAGCACUCACACUGGCUGCAACGUGAUCGCUGUGGAGGAGGAUGCGGAGGCAGCGCAGGCGAUGAUGGAUGGGAAUGUCUCCGCGUCAUUCUGUCCGCCCGCGUGGUUCGCUCGUCUCCCAUCUGGGCACGUCUGCCGGUGCCCCGCAACUUCACUUCCUGGUGGCCGUUGAGCUUACCGGGCAUGGGGAAGAUAGAACGUGGGACACGGAUCCCUCCACAGUCGACGGAGAUCUCGACUAGGUUUUUGUAUGUUUAAAAAAUGUCAUGUCCGGUUUUUGUUUGAUGAAAUAUGUCGAAAAUGACAUGACUUUGGUCCGAUUUGAAUGAAAAUCGUUUGCUUUGCAUGAAAAUUUUCUAUUUUGAUUAAAUUUCAUUUGCAAUGCGACUAACUGUUUGAUGGAUAGGUUUGGAUGACCGGCUCCCCUAUCACUGUCCACAGACUCGUCUACGGACGAAUAGUAUGUCCGUUUUAGGGGACAACUUUGGAGAUGCCCUACUACAAUAGAGGCAAUCUUGCCACCCUUUUCCAAGUCAUAACAUGAGGGGCAUAGAUUGCAUCAAAAAAAUGUUGCCAAAAGUGUGGGGGCAAACCAAACAUGAGGCUAACUGGGUCACCGAUAUUCAGGUGAAUACCAAAAUCUACCGUAAAACAAUGAGUAUACGUACGAAAUCACUAAUUAAGGAGUACUCCUUGCGGAGAUCACUCCAAAUCCCCAGGUUGCGACAAGUGGCGCGCUGCAUGUGCGCCACUUGUCGCAACCUGAGAGUUUUCCCCUUUUUCGUAGAUUCGUUUAUUCAAAACGUUUUAUCUCUUAAACCGUGCGUCCAAAUCUCGAACCACUUUCGUCAUUGGAUUCCUCGCGUCGAGAUCUUCAAAACUAGAUCCCAUGUUGAUAGGUUUUCACGAACUUUUUUUCACGAAAAAACCGGACGGAAAAAACCGACGAAAAAACCGAACCGGAAACACGGGUUUUUUCUAUUUCCGAAAGAGGCACGCCCGUGCCUCUGACGAAAUCACAACCGUGCCUCUCGCGGAAGCAAAACCGUGCCUCUCGCGGAAGAAAAAAAAACAGAAAACGCGUUUUUUUUCCUUUCCGAAAGAGGCACGCCCGUGCCUCUCGCGAAAGCACAACCGUGCCUCUUGCGGAAGCAAAACCGUGCCUCUCGCGAAAAAAAAACAGAAAACACGUUUUUUCCCUUUUCGAAAGAGGCACGCCCGUGCCUCUCGCGAAAGAAAAAAAACAAAAGACGUAUUUUUUUCNNNNNNNNNNNNNNNNNNNNNNNNNNNNNNNNNNNNNNNNNNNNNNNNNNNNNNNNNNNNNNNNNNNNNNNNNNNNNNNNNNNNNNNNNNNNNNNNNNNNNNNNNNNNNNNNNNNNNNNNNNNNNNNNNNNNNNNNNNNNNNNNNNNNNNNNNNNNNNNNNNNNNNNNNNNNNNNNNNNNNNNNNNNNNNNNNNNNNNNNNNNNNNNNNNNNNNNNNNNNNNNNNNNNNNNNNNNNNNNNNNNNNNNNNNNNNNNNNNNNNNNNNNNNNNNNNNNNNNNNNNNNNNNNNNNNNNNNNNNNNNNNNNNNNNNNNNNNNNNNNNNNNNNNNNNNNNNNNNNAAAACCGUGACUCUCGCGAAAAAAAAUUGCAUUUUUUUGCGCAAAAGAAUUACUUUUUUCAAAAAAAAAAAAUUUGGUCGAAAAGCUAGGGAAGACCGAUAGAAAACCAAAACGUCAAAAAACCCCAGAAAAAAACCGUUUAAAAAGCCGAAAACGUGUGCGUAAAAAUUAAAAAAAAAACAAAAUUCAGAAGGAGCGCCCAGAGCGUGACACGUGGCGAAUGGCUGUGAGCGCGCCAAUUGGCGCUGAUCGUUGUGAGGCUCCCGAAGGAGCGCUCGUUAAUUAGUUGCUCUACGUAAAUGUAUUCAGUUUAGCAUCCGUACAAGGCUAUAUUUGGCGUCUGCAAAAAAAAAAGGCUAUAUUCGGCCCACAGCCUGCUCUUCAGCCCAGUAGCCCACAGCCCACAGCACCAGAACGAAAUUGGGUAUUCUGGUUGUCUUCAAUCCCGCGGGAAACCCCCACCAAACCCACCGCACAAGCGCGCGCUCGCCAAAAUGCCGCCGCCGCCGCCGCCGCCGCCGCGGCAGGACUUCCCGGCGUUCCCUUUCGCGCCGUACCCGAUCCAGUCGGAGUUCAUGUCCUUCCUCUACAGCGCGCUCUCCUCCGGGCCCCGCGCCCUCGCCCUCCUCGAAAGCCCCACCGGUAAGCUCUGCUCUGCCGCCUUCCCCCCCUCAUCCUCCGGUUCUCACAAGCCACCACUGACGACUCAGCCUCCCCCGCGUUGCCGCAGGCACCGGGAAGACCCUCAGCAUCAUCUGCAGCGCGCUCCAGUGGCUCCUCGACCGCCGCGACGCCGCCCCCGAACGGGCCAAUGGCUCCGUCCCCGCUGCUGCCGGCGGCGAAGACGACGACGAGCCCGACUGGAUGCGGGAUUUCACACCGCUGCCGCCUAAGAAGGGCGCCGGUAAGAAGUCGGAGACUCACCCCUGGAGGAGGCAGGGGACGAAGAAGGUGGGGGGUUCGGAGAAAUCCGAGGGGACCGGGGAGAACGACGGCGAGGAGGAGUUCUUGGUUGACGAGUACGAGAGCGAUGGCGAGGAGGGCACAAGGCCGCAUGCCGCCGGGAAGCGGGCACAUCGUGGUGGUGGUGGUAGCAGUAGUAGUGAGAGCGAGGACGAAGAGGAAGAAGAGGAGGCGACCCCCAAGGUGUAUUUCACCAGCCGCACGCACUCGCAGCUCUCGCAGUUUGUCCGGGAGCUCAAGAGGACGGAUUUCUCCGGGAAGCUCAGGACGGUGUGCUUGGGGUCCAGAAAGAGCUUGUGUAUUAACAAGGGUGAGUGGGUGAUGUGGUUAUCUUUGUUCUUCUAGUUUUGGGGCUGGGAUUGUGUUUAGUUGAUCUGUGGUGCGUUUGAUUGCAGAUGUUCAGAAGCUGGGGAGCGCAAACCGGAUCAACGAGAGGUGCUUGGAGCUGCAAAAGAACAAGAAGAGCAGCAAAAUCAAGGCAUGGUUCAAUUUCGUCAAGUUGAUUUGCAAUUCUCAGCUGUUCUGUUAGAUAUUAUCUUGGACUUCUGCACCCAAAUUGGGCUCUUUCUGUUAGAUAUUUGUAUGUGCUGGGUUGUUAAAUACCAUUAGUAUGCUGCCCAUUUAUAACUUUUGUUGUUAAUAACUAGUAAUUUUUGCGGCUGUAAAUGUUCAGGUCGAGGGUGAUAACAAAAAAGGGCACCGAACAAAGACCUCCUGUGGGUGCCCGAUGUUAAGAAACAGAAGUCUGCAGAAACAGUUCAGGAGUGAAGUGUCUGACCAUGGUGCAUUGGAUAUCGAGGAUUUGGCACAAAUUGGAAGGAAGAUUGGAACAUGUCCGUACUACGGUGCACGUGACAUGGUCCGCUCAGCUGACCUUGUAGUACUUCCUUACCAGUCUUUGUUGCUGAAGUCUGCUAGAGAAUCACUUGGCCUUAAUCUGAAGAACAGUGUUGUCAUCAUAGAUGAGGCUCACAACUUAGCAGACUCCCUUACUAGCAUGUACAACUCAAAGGUCACAUCUUCUCAGGUUAGUCUUCCUCAUAAUUGACCUGCCCCUGACAGUAUCAUGACGAUGUUUUUGUUCUGAAUUCUAGAUCCCUAACAUCUGUUGGAAUUAGUCUGACUGCCUCAGGAUUGUGACGCAUCUCAUUCCGCACACUAUGCAGAAUUAGUCUGACUGUACAGUUGUACUCUAUCUUCAUAAUUUUGUUCUCUCUGCACUUUCGAUAAUGUUUUCCAAGAUCCGAAUAUAGAGGUGCUGUAAGUAGGUUUACCAUAUAAGGAUACAUAACCAAAGAGAAUUUUCUGGUAUAGAGCUUGACUUUGCUAAGUUGUGUUGUGGCAGACAACAGGAUAGUAAAUAAAAAUGAUAUUUAUCGGUGAAUUUUUAAAUUUCGCUUUACUAAGCAACAUAUAGUUAGCAAAUGAACUGACUGUUUGCUUCCAGUUGUGGAAACUAACUUAAUUUUCUGAUUCUCAUUUUCGUUAGUUGAGGGCAGUUCUUUCCCACCUGGAGGCAUAUCUCAAUAGUUUUCAGAAUGUUCUGGGAGCUGGAAAUCGACGUUACAUCCAGACCUUGACAGUUCUAACACGGUCAUUCCUACGAUGUUUGAUAAGUAAUGAAGAUUGUUCCUCUGCUGUGACCUCUGUGACUAUAAAUAAGUUCUUGUUCUCCCUUGAUAUCGAUAACAUAAACAUAGUAAAACUUUGUCAGUAUCUGAAGGAAAGCAAUAUAAUCCACAAGGUGAAAUAUUUCUUCCACUACAUUUCCAUUCAGUCUUGUUGUGUCUAGAACCUAUAUCGAUUGACUGCUGAUAUGCAGGUUAGUGGCUAUGCCAACAAAUUAUUUUUCACCGAAACUGGUGUGGGUGAUUUGAAUCAUGGGCAGCAACAUGGUGAAGGAAGCAGUAUAACAAGCUUUCAGGCUUUGGCUGACUUUUUACGCUCUCUACUGUACUGCAAUGAUGAUGGAAGAAUCAUAGUUGCACGGCACAAGCCUGGUGGACACUCUGAAGAUGCAUAUAUCAAAUUUGUGAUGCUUUGCGCAGAGAAAACAUUUUCUGAGGUGAUGUACCUUGCUCCAUAUGUUGCUUGGAGACAAGAGUUGUCCUAUUUCACAUGAGUAUUUAUAAAUCUUUCCUCUUGCAGGUCACAGAUGACGCACAUGCUGUUAUUAUGGCCGGUGGAACCCUCCAGCCUAUUGAAGAAACAAGGCUGCGCUUGUUUCCAGGCUUAUUGCCUAGUGAUAUAAAAUUCUUCUCGUGCAACCACAUUGUCCCCCCUGAGAGUAUUCUUCCUAUAGCUGUUCCAUGUGGGCCCUCAGGCAAGAAAUUUGAUUUCAGCCACAGCUCAAGGAGCUCUCCUACCAUGGUAUGUAUACCUCGAGUCAUUUCUCCUUUACUCUCUAAUGUUUGCACGUUAUUUUUGUGCCUAUUCUUAUCUGCCUAUCUUUGCAGAUCGAAGAGCUUGGACGUUUUCUUUGCAAUAUAGCAACAAUAGUACCAGAGGGAAUAGUAGUGUUUUUCUCUUCCUAUGAUUAUGAAAAGCAAGUUUAUGAUGCAUGGAUGGCUUCAGGCACAAUUUCAAAGAUUUCUAAGAAGAAGCACGUGUUCAGAGAGCCAAGAAGCAGUGUGGAUGUCGAGAUGAUACUCAACAAAUACAAGGAGGCAAUUCAAUCCUGCUGCAGCAAAGGUUCAGGAGACACUAGUGUCAACGGGGCACUUUUAAUGGCUGUUGUUGGUGGGAAGAUCUCUGAAGGCAUAAACUUCAGCGAUGGUAUGGGUCGUUGUGUUGUGAUGGUUGGAUUGCCUUAUCCAAGCCCAGAUGAUGUGGAACUGAUGGAGACAAUAAAACACAUUGGAAACUAUUCUUCUACCUCAUCUGUUGCUGGAGAUGACGAGUCCUCGAGCAGGGACGAUGAAUGCAAGGUUGAGCCUGGUUUUGGUAUUCUAAGGAAGAGUGGUAAAAGUGGUCAAGAGUACUAUGAAAACUCAUGCAUGAAAGCCGUGAAUCAGUGUAUCGGUAAGCUGCUGUGCAAUCUUAACAUUUAUGAUUUUUCUGGCUCUAGUUGAUAAACGAUGAACAAAUUUGCUUGCAGGCAGAGCAAUCAGGCAUGUAAAUGACUAUGCUGCAAUGCUGUUGGUUGACUCGCGUUACUCGCACACCUCAUCAAGCAGGGGUUUCUCUUGCCCCGUUGAAAAGCUACCCCAGUGGAUCAAGACACGGCUGACUUGCGGUCAAAACUACGGGGAAGUUCAUAGAUUGUUGCUUCAGUUUUUCAAAAUCAACAAACAAAUACAUUGAAAUGUUACAGACGUAAUAUUGCUACAAUUAAUGAAGCCAAUCCAUGUACACAUAGGUUUGCAUAUCCGUGGUGCAUUUUUGUUUGGCUGAUAUGAGCGCAAUGCGAUGACCAACCGUUCAAAGGUUGAGUUAGCACUUGAAAUCCCAUGUUAUCGGUGGCUGAUACUCCCUCCGUCCGAAAAUACUUGUCAUCAAAAUGAAUAAAAAGGGAUGCAUCUAGAACUAGAAUACAUCUAGAUACAUCCCCUUUUAUUCAUUUUGAUGACAAGUAUUUCCGGACGGAGGGAGUAUCAGUUACCGAAGGUAUGUGCACCCUUGUUAUUUACUUAUUUUCCCACACCCAGAUCCGAGGAGCAUCACACCCCAGUUCUUAUAUUCAAUAAAUUUAAAGGAAACAUGAUAAUCUGCUGCCUAGCACCGUCAUCGAUCUCAUUUAAUCAUAUACUAGAAGCGUUUGACGCGCUUUGCUGCAUCACCUGGUCCAUGUUUUUUUUCUCAAGGCUACAUGGCCUUCAUUUUCCCCAGAUUUUCUUGUUGCAGCGAGUUGUUGAAAUAUUUAGAUUUGUUGGUAUUUUUUUAGGAGGUGCAAUGUACCCUUUUCUUAAAAACUUAUUUGUACGGCAUGUGUGCUGAGCAACCUUCAAAUCAUUCAAAAAAUAAGUUAUUCGUAUUUUGGCAGUAUAGCUUACCAUGUAUGCAUAUGCAUCUUCGCUAUGCAGAGGCCGGGUGUUGCUCAUCAUGCUUUGUAUCCGCUUGAUGCUACAUUUUGAGAUAAUAAAAGCGUCCUUUAUAAAAAAAAAUGUAUACCAUAUGAUUGAAUCCUUUUGUUGUCGAGAUAGUGGGAGUGGCUGAUGUGUUCAGAGAACGUUCUCUGACAAAACACCUCUGUUGUCAUUUCUUUGCCACAUUUGAUAAGAAUUUGCAAGUCAACUAAAACAAUAAGAUAGUUUUCAAGGAGAAAAACUGUAAGAUAUAGCUUGCAAGAAAUUGCACUUUGAGAGCACAUCAGUUUACACUGUUGUACUCUAGUGAGUACAAUAGGGGCAGAAAAGUUGGAAGUGUUGUUCUGCUCCAAAAUGUACACUAUUUUUUUUAAAUAGGGAUUUUUUUUUUAAAAAAAUCUGAUUUUCUUGUGACAAACAUUAUUGAAUGUUUUACCAACACGCAAAGUUCUAUGUUGAAAAAACAUUCGUGGAGAGAUGAGCACAAAAAAAACCGAUGUUCCAAAAUGCUUUAGAAAAAUUGCCCUUUUUGGAACAUUCUUUAAAUAUAUUUUUGUUCAGACUUCAUGAUUUUUUUUCUCAUCACAAAUUUUGCAACUUGGUAAAACAUUCAACAACGUUUUUACAAAAAAUAAUAAUCAGUCUUCUUUAAUUAUUUUUCCUUUUUUUAGGAAGGAUCGAGUCCGGAAUGAUGAUAUACGAGAUAGAGUUGAGGUAGCACCAAUUGAGGAGAAGCUUGCCCAACAUCGUUUGAGAUGGUUUGGGCAUAUUCAGCGCAGGCCUCCAGAAGCUCCAGUGCAUAGCGGACGGCUAAAGCGUGCGGAGAAUGUCAAGAGAGGGCGGGGUCGACCGAAUUUGACAUGGGAGGAGUCCGUUAAGAGAGACCUGAAGGAUUGGAGUAUCGACAAAGAGCUAGCUAUGGACAGGGGUGCGUGGAAGCUUGCUAUCCAUGUGCCAGAGCCAUGAGUUGGUUGCGAGAUAUUAUGGGUUUCACCUCUAGCCUACCCCAACUUGUUUGGGACUAAAGGCUUUGUUGUUGUUGUUGUUGUUGUUGUUGUUGUUGUUGUUGUUGUUGUUGUUGUUGUCCUAGAUUUUGCUGUUCACCCAAGUGCAUAUGCACCUGAGUGCGGAAACUCCAUAAGCAUGUUUGGCUCUAGGUGAUAUAUAUACCCUAUAUGAAAAACAUAGUAAUUAUAGAAAAAGUCAAAAGUUUUGAAAUAAACAUGACCUUCUGUUGUACUCGUAUAAAAAGUUUGGACAAGAAACAACUUUCAUGGUAUUGUUGGUGGAAAAAAAAAUAAACACUAGUUUUUUCUUCAUGAAACUUUUUAUAAAAGUACAAAAGAAGGUCAAGUUUAUUAUAAUAAAAGCUUCUGAAUUCUUUUGACAUUUUUGUAAUUAUAAAAAAAUCCAUAUCAAAUGUAUAUACACCUGAGAGCCAAAAGAUAUUUCCCUCUCAAGUAUAGAUAAGAUUGGAAAAGUGGAGAAAGAAAAGAAUGUGACGUACAUCUGUCAAAAUACAUGUGAGGAAACUUGAUUGCACACGGAUCCGGUAGCCAAGUUGCGACAGGGUCGGGUCGCGUACAAAGGUUUAUGCUCGUACGUCCGUUCUCCUGUAUUAGUCGUCUCCAGCUGAUCUAUACGAGCGAGCGCCCGACGAUUGGGGGAUCCUAGUUUUGGGGCUAGCUGGUCAGUGUUCGUGAUAAUUUUGGAUCCCUUGUUAAGUAAUAAUCUGUUGGGAAUGGCGCCUCGGUUUGUUUUUGGUUGGAUUGGUGGGCCGGAGACGAACCCCCUUUCCUUGGCUUUCCCCUCUUCUUCCACAUAUGUUUCUUCCCCUGAGAUCUCCAUCAUGAAGGUCUGCUAGGAACUGGGUUUUUAGUUUCCUUAGGAUGUUGUCUCCUAUAGAGUUGAUGAUUAGCACCGCCUUGCUGCUAUCUUACGCUCUUGGAGUCUGUGAACAUGGUGACGUGGCCCCAUUCUUCUUCUGGUCGUUUUUCGGUUAAGUCUCUAUAUUGCAAGUUGAUGAGUGGACCAGUUGUCUCGAGGUUUAACGGAGUUUGGAAGGCACGCAUUCCCCUUAAGGUUAAAAUUUGCAUGUGGUAGGUCAUGCGGGGCGUUUGCCUGCAGCUGACCAAAUCUGAACACAGAAUGGCUUUGGUUCUGAAUUUUGUGCUUUAUGUGGUUUGGUUGAGAACUCUGGUCACAUUAUAUUUCAGCAUCCUCUUUCUCAGUUAUUCUGGAGUUGUUUCAGAUAGUGGUUGGUUGCGUCUUGGGCCCCAUCUAGUUUUGUGGAGCGAAGACCCUUGGAAAGCUCCUUGGCGGGACAACUCAAGAGGCUCUUUUGGUUUGGUUUUUCUGCCAUGUGUUUGGCCUUGUGGACCACCAGGAACAAAUUUACCGUCGAGCAACAAUUCCCUAACAAGGCCGUCGACUGUAUUUUCAAAUUCUCCAUUCUCUUUCCGAAGUGGAAAUCAUUGACUAAGGAGGGCGACAAGGAUGCAGUGGAGCUUAUGAUCUCUCAGUUAGGGCAACAACGAACUCCAUUUUGAGUACAGAUCAAGCUCAACAUCCAUAGAUGGGUUCUAGUGUCCUUCUACUUAUCGUUUUCUUAGCCUGGUUAUUUGUUGGCCUGCAUGCCAUGUUCUUCUGUUCCCAGUUGUGGCUGUCGUACUGUUAUCUAGUACCCUUCUUGGUUAGCUCUUGUUUGGUUGUGGAAUCUCUGUGUGACGCUUGGUGGCUUUAUUAAUGUAAAGUCAGGCUAACGACUUUUAUCUAAAUAAACAGUACGAAGUGCAUCCAAGAGAAUAGCAAGUCGCGCAUCCAACUCUAAUAGGAAGAGCAUCAAGAUAUGAUUUGUAAUGAAACUAUAUUAAUAUAUAAGAUCAUCUACCAGCAUGCCCCAUUUGUGCAACAUUAAGCUACCAUCAUGUCGUCUUUUUGUUCUCAUUGUAGCUACUUGUUUACAUUUCUGCCCUGUCACUAAAAUGGGAACAUUUUCAAUAGUCCAUAUAAUUUCCUACAUGACUUAGAUAAUUGUACAAUUAACUUUCAAUGUACAACGGAACACAACAGAUGUAGAUAAUUAACAGGCACAACACAAGGAUAACUAACCAAAAAUGGAUAUUGUUGCAGUUACUUGUUUCCUAAAUUUCAACAGUGUCCCCAUAUAUUGGAAUAUUUUCAAUAGUGGGCAUGGUUCCCUAAUUGAAAUUAACACAACUACACAACUGAAAAGCAUAGUACAAUGGAACACCAUGACUGACAACACAAGGAUAAAAACAUAACAACAAAUUAUAAACAUGUGCUAAAGCAGUGAACCAUGAAAAUGCAGUGCCAAUUAAGGAUAAAGGAAAUACAUGUAUUUUCAAUUAAUUUCAUGAACCUACUGAUACGUCUCCAACGUAUCUAUAAUUUUUGAUUGUUCCAUGCUAUUAUAUUACCUGUUUUGAAUGAUAUUGGGCUUUAUUAUACACUUUUAUAUUACUUUUGGGACUAACCUAUUAACAAGAGGCCCAGCCCAUAUUGCUGUUUUAUUGCCUGUUUCAGUAUUUCGAGGAAAAGGAAUAUCAAACGGAAUCCAAAUGGAAUGAAACCUUCGGCAUCGUGAUUAUUUGGAAGAAUAUCAUCCUGGAGGCUUGGGAAUCAAGUCAGAAGACCCUCGAGGAACCCAGGAGAUAGGGGGCGCCCCCCCCCUACAGGGCGCGCCCCCUGUCUCGUGGACCCCUCGAGGCUCCCCCGGCCGACUUCUUUCGCCUAUAUAGUCCCACGUACCCUAAAAACAUCCACGGAUAGAUCGAGAGUUCCGCCGCCGCAAACCUCUGUAGCCACCAAAAACCUCUCGGGAGUCCGUUCCGGCACCCUGCCGGAGGGGGGAUCCCUCACCGGUGGCCAUCUUCAUCAUCCCGGCGCUCUCCAUGAUGAGGAGGGAGUAGUCCACCCUCGGGGCUGAGGGUAUGUACCAGUAGCUAUGUGUUUGAUCUCUCUCUCUCUCUCGUGUUCUCUCUAUGGCACGAUCUUGAUGUAUCCCAAGCUUUGCUAUUGUAGUUGGAUCUUAUGAUGUUUCUCCCCCUCUACUCUCUUGUGAUGAAUUGAGUUUCCCCUUUGAAGUUAUCUUAUCGAAUUGAGUCUUUUAUGAGAACACUUGAUGUAUGUCUUGCCGUGUUUAUCUGUGGUGACAAUGGGAUAUCAUGUGCCUCUUGAUGUAUGUUUUGAUGACCAACUUGCGGGUUCCGCCCAUGAACCUAUGCAUAGGGGUUGGCACAUGUUCUUGACUCUCCGGUAGAAACUUUGGGGCACUCUUUGAAGUACUUUGUGUUGGUUGGAUGAAUCUGAGAUUGUGUGAUGCAUAUCGUAUAAUCAUGCCCACGGAUACUUGAGGUGACAAUGGAGUAUCUAGGUGACAUUAGGAUUUUGGUUGAUUUGUGUCUUAAGGUGUUAUUCUAGUACAAACUCUUGAAUAGAUUGAUCCGAAAGAAUAACUUUGAGGUGGUUUCGUACCCUACCAUAAUCUCUACGUUUGUUCUCCGCUAUUAGUGGCUUUGGAGUGACUCUUUGUUGCAUGUUGAGGGAUUGUUAUAUGAUCUAUCUAUGUUAUUAUUGUUGAGAGAACUUGCACUAGUGAAAGUAUGAACCCUAGGCCUUGUUUCCUAUCAUUGCAAUACCGUUUACGCUCACUUUUAUCAUUAGUUACCUUGCUGUUUUUAUAAUUUCAGAUUACAAAUACCUAUAUCUACCAUCCAUAUUGCACCUGUAUCACCAUCUCUUCGCCGAACUAGUGCACCUAUACAAUUUACCAUUGUAUUGGGUGUGUUGGGGACACAAGAGACUCUUUGUUAUUUGGUUGCAGGGUUGUUUGAGAGAGGCCAUCUUCAUCCUACGCCUCCUACGGAUUGAUAAACCUUAGGUCAUCCACUUGAGGGAAAUUUGCUAUUGUCCUACAAACCUGUGCACUUGCAGGCCCAACAACGUCUACAAGAAGAAGGCUGUGUAGUAGACAUCAAGCUCUUUUCUGGCGCCGUUGCUGGGGAGGUUAGUGCUUGAAGGUAUAUCUUUAGAUCUUGCAAUCGAAUAUUUUUGUUUCUUGUUUUAUCACUAGUUUAGUUUAUAAAAGAAAACUACAAAAAAAUGGAGUUAAGUUUGUCUCAUACGCUUCGGCUUUUUAAUAUCUUUCGUGAGUAUGAUGGAAAGGAAAAUUGUGCUCAAGUGCUAGAAGAAGAAUUCUUUAAAAUGCUUGGUACUAAAUCUUUGAAUGAUGAGCAUUAUUGCAAUGUUGUUAGUAUAAACUCUUUGAAUAUCCAUAGUACUAAUGAUGAUUGCUCUAGUCAUGAUGAAAAUAUCUCUUAUAAGCAUGUCAACUUUUGUGGAGUGCAUGUUUGCAUGAACACAGCAAAUAGAGAAGAUAUAUAUUGCAAGAGGCAUAAGUAUUUAGAAACUAAGAAGUUGCAAGAAAGGAUAGAUAAGAGUGCGGAGAAUUUAAGAUAUCUUUCCCGUUGUGAAUUUUGCAAUAAACAAGAUCAUUUACAUCUUCAAUGCAAAUUGUUUCAUGAUCGGAUCGUGUCCAAAAAUUGUGAUGAUUUGAUCUCCCUUUCUCAUACAAUGAACCUAGAUUGCUUUUGGGUUGUCAAGAGUUGAAACGUUUAACUAAGCCUAUUCCAAAAUUUAAUCUUAAGCAUUUUCUUGAUAUUGAUCUAGAAAGUAUUUAUAUGUUUUGUGCGGAGAAUUGCAUUGAAAAUCCUUAUAUUGCCAAUUACUUAAAGAAAAGAAGAAAAUAGAAGAUGAUGAGAAUACUAAUGAAAGGGAAGAGACUUCCCAAUCUCCUCCUAUUAUUUCUUAUGAUGAAUCAGGUAAUGAGGAGGAGCUUUCUAUUCAACUAAUCUCAUCAAUAAGGAGCUCAAAGAGGAAGGUUGAACCUACACAUAAUGUGAAGAAGAAAAAGAAAAGAAGGAGCAACAAAGGUAAAAAGGUAUCCCUCCCAAAUGAUGUUGCUCCUACUACUACUUGUGAUGAUGAUAAUUGCUAUACUAUUGGUGCUAUCCAUAUUUUUAAUGAUGAUAGUGAUUAUGCUUAUGAUAUGGAAGGUCCCAAGCUUGGGGAAGCUAUGUUUGAUGAGGAUGAAAUAUUUGAGAAUAUAUUUGCUAAAAUUAAUGUUUGUCCCAAGCUUGUGGAUGCUAUGUUUAUUGAAGAUGAUAUUUUUAGCAUCCCAAGUUUUGAUAUGCAAAGUUGUUAUGAUGAUAGCAUGCCUCCUACUUAUGAUGAUUAUAUUGAUGAAAGUGGGUUUGGAAGAGUGUCAACUUUAGGAAGUAGUGAUCCCACUAUUUUGGAGGAUGUUGAAUUUUAUUGUGAUGAAUAUGAAAGUGGAUUUGUAAGAGUGUCAACUUUAUUUAGUGAUUCCACUAUCUUGGGAGAGGUUUCAAUCGAUUAUGAUGAGAACGAAGUUGCUACUUA